AAAAAAGUUAAUAAAAUCCUUUAUUUCUAAGAAUGAUUUAGAAUCUAAUCCUGCAAAAAUGAGGUCACGGCGCACGGUCAAUAUUUGUGUUAUGUCAACAAUAAACAAUUUAAUGUUGAAAGUAAUAUCUCUAUAAAUAUGGGCUUAAAACCAAAUAAUAUUGAAACCUCAAAUAAAGUAUAGUCAUAGUAUUCUAUGUACCAAAUAAUGACGGGAUAUAUUGUUUAUUGUCUAACAGAUAUUAGUAACUAAAGACAGAUAGUCCUCUUUAGAAUUGACUAAAAACAUCGACGUCGCCGGACGGUAUGGCGCAACAAGAAGUACAAACAGAAUGGAUUUAACUCAGGAAAAAGCCGAUACAAGCUGUGAAAAUGCUCAAUGAUACAAAAAAUAAGUCAACAAUUAUUUGCAAGUUUGCGUUAAACUGUAAUAAAUUUUGUGGGGGUGGUGGUUAUUGUAUUUUGAAUAUAAUCAGUCAGAAAGAGUUCAAUAUCUGUAAAUAUUUGGUCAUAAAAUAAGUAAUGUCAAACGACGUUCAGGGUUAUCUUUACUGUAAACUAAGAGAUACAAGGUUAGAAAAUGAAAACUUUAAAGAAUUAACUUAUGAUUCUCGACAAAUGUGUGCAAAUAAGAUGUUAAGUGGUUUAGUGCCAUUUUAAAUUGUAAGAAAAAAGGCACAAGACACUAAGCGUGAUAUAAAGAAGGGGUAUAUCUAUAAACUGUGCGUAUUUAAUCUUGACGUCAUGUUUUGAACGUGACCGUGCGCCGUGGUGACAAAACAUGUUGUUUUUAAAAAGGGGUAACAAAAAUACCGUUUCAUAAAAUGGACUAAAACUUUGCAUAUCAAUAACAGAAGUGUUGGUGCACAGAUUAAUCUGUUAAGUAUGACUUACAUGAAAAAUAUAUGAUAGAUAGCCACAUUGUCUUCGUAUUUUUUUAUUAACCCUCGUAUUAUUUUAAUGUAGUAGUAUAGAUCUUGUGUUCAUGAAGGCCCAGCAAAAAAAUUUGAAAUUUAUGACCCCUGCGUCAGGAGGUCGGGUCUUUGAAUUGUCCAAUAUGGCCACAUAGUUAAAGUGUAUUGAUAUUUAAAAGGGUUACGGUUAUCACAACACAGGGCAUGUGGGGGAUGCAAUAAACUGAAUGCAUGUUUAUGAAAUUAAUAUAGCCUUCUACCACAAAUGUAAAAUAAACGCCCUUAUUACUCGAUCUUUACUAUGAUUCAAUGAGGCUAUAAAUGCUAAACAUGAGACCGUCUGACAAGUCAGUCUUAGGUCUCUGGUACUCUGGUGACCAUCAAGGUCUGUAUUCCUCUUGUUUGAUUAUUGUUAUUAUUAUAUUUUACAUAUUUUGUAUACAUUUUUAUUAUAUCCAGAACUGCACAUAAUCAAGAUCAAGUUUUAAAUAAAAUCAUAUUCCAAAAAAUGAUACAAAACAAUAUUUAACAAGGGCAGCGUUAAGCGGAGCAUCCCCUCGCGACAUGAGUUAUUGUGUGGGGAUGCAUUAUUUAGGAAUAAUGUAAAUGAGAAGACCACAUUCUACUAACCCUCCAUUACUUCAAAAACUACGUUUUCUUUACCUGUACUAGAUCUAAAUCCAAAAAAUAUCAAGUUGUUGAUUUGAACUGCUUACUUUCACUUUGGUUUCAAAGAAGUGAAGCGGAAAUAGUUAUUGUCAAAUCGUACAUAAGAUUUCUGUUUAAAGUUGUGUUAUUUUAACGAUAUAUUAAAAAGUAUUCAAUUAAUUGAACUGAAAACU
rnacentral:sRNA from 1 species